AGCAGAUUAAAAAAACAACCCUUUUAGAUAAUUGUCUGAAGGCAGAAACUCAUGAGUCUGAAAUGUUUGUUUCCCUUGAAUAAUUUAAAAACCACAUAACCGCCAUUUCCUGAACUUUUCUCGUAAGCAACCGACAUACAUAUUUAAUUCCAAAUGUAGUGUCCCUUUCCCCUCUAAAACCCUAGACAAAUCGAGAUCCUCUAUAUAGGUUCCUCACCUAUAAAAUGGAAUUACUCACAAUUGCGCAAUAACAGAAACCAAAUCCACCCUCUUACAUUUCAUGUUAUUUUUUACAUUUUAUGUGGAAUCCAUAAAGUUACAGUUAUUUUAUGGUCAAAUUAAAUCAAAUCAAAUUGUAUUUGUCACAUGCGCCAAAUACAACAGUGAAAUGCUUACUUACAAGCCCUUAACCAACAAUGCUUUAAGAAGUUAAGAAGAAAAAAAGUGUUAAGUAAAAAAUAGAUAAGUAAAAAUAGAAAAUAAAAGGUUACAAAAAAUUAAACAGCAGCAGUAAAAUAAAAAUAGCGAGGCUAUAUACAGGGGGUACCGGUACAUAGUCAAUGUGAAGGGAGCACCAGUUAGUCAAGGUAAUUGAGGUAAUAUGUACAUGUAGGUAGAGUUAAGGAAACCAGAUUGUGAGAGUCGGACCACAUGUUUUUAAGAUCUUAAAUUUACAACUGAAACAGUAUAUGUCGAUGACAGUUAGAUAUAAAAACAACACCAGUUGAAAACUAUAUGAUCAGUUGUAGCAUGGUAAACAUCCUACAAAGUGCAUUCACGUGGUCUCUCUUGUCUUCUCUCUCCCCUCUUAGUUUUUUAAAAGUGUUUUAUUUUACCUUUAUUUCACCAGGUAGGCAAGUUGAGAACAAGUUCUCAUUUACAAUUGCAACCUGGCCAAGAUAAAGCAAAGCAGUUCGACAGGUACAACAACACAGAGGUACACAUGGAGUAAAACAAACACAGUCAAUAAUACAGUAGAAAAAUAAGUCUAUAUACAAUGUGAGAAAAUGAGGUGAGAUAAGGGAGGUAAAGGCAAAAAAGGCCAUGGUGGCAAAGUAAAUACAAUAUAACAAGUAAAAAGAUAAUAAUAAUAAAAAUGUAUAUGCCAGCUUCUCUCUUCCUUUGGCUCUCCAUCCUUUCUGACUCUCUCGCUCACAUUUUUUUACCUUCUGAGACAGCACCUGUCCUUCUGGUAUUCAUCAAUGUAACAUAGCUAUUAAAAGCUUUUUAACACCAUCAUUUAUUACCACAUGGUGUGAUCCAAGGACACCCCCAUAAGAGUCCAUACUUAUGCUACGUUCACAAUGAAGUGGAAAGGUGGUAUUUACCACAUACAACUGGGAAAAAUCCACUUGAACGCCCUUCCAACUUGUAACUACUAGUGGAAAAAUCCUCAAUCAUCUCUGAACUCCGACUUCUCCCACAACUGACCUCUGAUGUCACCUACUAAAGAAAUGACCUCGAUAACAGCAUUUUCUGCAGUUAAAUGUAACAAAACAUUAUUUAUAAUAAGCUAUCAAUUAAUAUGUGUGGCGGCUUAGGAAAAUGCUAAACUUUUAAUUCUUUAUAUCUCUGAAAACUACCAACUGUCCCAAAUCCAGAUUUUUUUUAAAUCACUGAGAUAGCUUUAUCAGAACCCGAGUUAUGAGCUUUUAAAGUUGACUUCAGCCAAAAUGUUAAAACUGAGAAAAUGGCAAUGAAAGAUUCCUUUAAGUUUAUUUCUAAUUAAUAAUAAUUAGAAUCUAAAACACCAACACUCAGCUUGAUUGUUUCAAAAGAGAUUGUCACUAUACUUAUUAUUUUUAAAACAGUAACUGCUGGUAUUAUUUGCAUUAAAUAAUCAAAUUAUUAUACGUAAGAGAUAAUCAAUGAAGGGGCUAUGAGUUCUAUGAAAAAUAAUGAACGACAUGGAAGGUGUUUCCAAGACGCCCUAGUGGAGUGGAACUGACCUUCAAUGGAGUUACAUUAUUUUCCAGAGAAUGCAUAGAGCCCUGAGUUGAUUAUCCCUUUUAUACUGUACCAUGGCUAUAAUUUAACACAUUUGCCACUAGAAAUGGUUAUUUGACAGUAGAACUGUAUUCAACAAUAACCAAUAAAUUAGCUAGCAAAUUAGUAGUUGCCUUGAAACAGACUUGCUACAGUAGUUUAGCUAACCAAACCAUCAGUCCUAGCUUGCUAUUAUGAAAAUCGAAUUCAACAAUGCCAAUAAUGUUUUUAAUACAACUUUUCAUUCAAAAGCAGCUCAAACAGAACAUGUAAGAACAGUCAACAACAAAUACUUAAAAAGAAAAACAGUAAAGAAAGAUCUGUUUGAUUUGGCUAUAUAGAACACUGGAAGGCAUGAAAGAUGGCAAAAAUAAUGAUCAUUUAAAUUCAGCUUGCAGGAAUGGGUACUGGAACGAGUUGCCCAUGGUUCUCCUGGUCAUGGAGACAAUCUCAUCUGCUGAGAGAUUAGAUUAAUUUGUCAUUUAGGAAAAGUAAAAACAAUACAAAUACUCACAAUCACACAAAACACAAAUAUAACUGUGGAGAGGCAAGGAAAAUAGUAUAGUAAUAGUGUGAAAAAGCCAAUAAAGUGACUGAGUAGUUUUGUGUGUUGACUGAUACCUGGUUUUGUUGAAGGC
rnacentral:lncRNA from 13 species